rnacentral:rRNA from 1 species
GAUGAACGCUAGCUACAGGCUUAACACAUGCAAGUCGAGGGGUAACGAGAGGAAAGCUUGCUUUCCUUGUCGACGACCGGCGCACGGGUGAGUAACGCGUAUCCAACCUACCCCCCAACUAGGGAAUAACCUUGCGAAAGUAAGACUAAUACCCUAUAAUUUCCUCAGAUGACAUCUGACGAGGAAUAAAGAUUUAUCGGUUGUGGAUGGGGAUGCGUCUGAUUAGCUUGUUGGCGGGGUAACGGCCCACCAAGGCAACGAUCAGUGGGGGUUCUGAGAGGAAGGUCCCCCACAUUGGAACUGAGACACGGUCCAAACUCCUACGGGAGGCAGCAGUGAGGAAUAUUGGUCAAUGGGCGGAAGCCUGAACCAGCCAAGUAGCGUGCAGGAUGACGGCCCUAUGUGUUGUAAACUGCUUUUAUACAGGAAUAAAGUUAGCCACGUGUGGUUAUUUGUAGGUACUGUAUGAAUAAGGACCGGCUAAUUCCGUGCCAGCCGCCGCGGUAA